AAAAUUUAAAUUUAAAAUACUAAAAUAGUAGAUAAAUAUUUAUUGAAACUUAAAUAAUUUGGCGGUAUUUUAGUUCAUUUAGAGGAAUCUGUUUAAUAAUUGAUAUUCCACGAAUAAAUUUACUUAAUUUAUAAUUUUGUAUAUCGUUGUUGUAAAAAUAUUUUUUAAAAAAAUUAAUAUUUAAAAAUUAAUAAUUAAAAUUAAAUCAGAUCAAGAUGCAGAUUAUAAUUAAGAAUAUAAUGGAUUACAAUAAAUUUAUUUAAAUGGAUUUUAAUUUGUAAAAAUUAAGUGAAGGUGGAUUUAAAUGUAAUUUUAUUUAAUUUAAUAAAAUGAUUAAAAAUUAAAAUAUGU
rnacentral:rRNA from 1 species